CUCCCCCCUCCCCCAACUCAGCAGGUCUGAGAGGCGGCAGCGUGUUUGCUUGCGUGUGUUAGCCAGAGCUGCUAGAUUGCGCCAGCGAGCGCGAGCUAGAGUAGGUUUCCCCGGGCGCCGCCGGGAGAGCCAGUGCUUUGGAUGCCAACGGGCUCCCUGCCGAUCGCUCGCGCUCUCGAGCGCGGGGGAGGCUCUAGGGAUCUUGUCGAUGCCAAGGAAGGGGCAGAGCCCGGCGCGGCAAUCGUCGCUGUGGGAAACGCCAUUCAGCAACUCUUCUCACAAGCAGGCAGGUGAUUCUGCCAAACACAAUGAAAAGAGGCCAUUCCCGUUUAAAUGAAGCUGAGAUAAAGCAACGGGGGUGGGGAAGCGGCGGCGGGAAGAGAGCAAAGCAAAACCCUUGGAGGCCAGCUGUGGUGGUGCCCUACACGAAGAGAUUUGGCCACGUCUUGGGCGGCGGGACAAGAGAGCUGUUCUCUUCUGAGGGAGCCGGCGCUCCUUGGCGCAGGCCCCAGAGCUCACAGUGCAGCGAACCCUGCCCUGAGGGCGGGAAGAGGCGCCAGAAACAAAGCCGGGCGGCAGCAAUUCUAGCCGCCCGAAGGGUGGGGGAUGAGGCAGUAAAGAAACAGUUUCAAACCCCAGGACGCUAGCCUCGCGGGGCUUCCAGUGUGGCCCCUGCGGUAGCGAGGACACCCCCGCUGACUGACACGGAGGGUAAGCCGAAAAAGGCGCGAAGUCUCCAAAGCGGGAAGCUGCAGCUUGGCUGCCCUUCCUUGCACACCUCUCUUCUCCUCUCCUGAGGCCAGGGGCCUCCACCGUCUAUGGCUUGCAGUGGGGGGAAGUGGAGCAGCUGGACAAAGCAGAAGGGCGAAAUGAAAAGUCCCGACGCUCCCCACCCUCAGUAUCCUCCCCACCCUCCUUUCCCGCCCCCGGAGCCACCAGGGCGGGAAGGCCAAGAGCUUGGAGGGGUGGAAGGGCUGCGCUCGGCUUCCCGGGAGCAGGAAGGAAACCUCGCCAGAGAGCCUGGCCGAGUUUCAGACGCAGACAGACUCAAGAAGCUAUCAAAAGCCGGAGGAUUUGGGCUUCAAGCUGCUGAGCACAUACAAAGUGCCCCGGCUUUGACCUGGAAACAGUCCCUAGAUAAAGUGUCCCCUUAAUCAGGUACAUCGAUACCGCCUCCCACUAAUUGGUAGGAGGGACCCCGAAAACCACCGCACGCUCUUCCUGUCAUGCUAGCGUUUUAGUUUCGCAUCGAAGCCUUUUUUGCUAUGCCCAUCUUGGUGCCGGCUUAACCGAGUUGUGGAUCAGAGGUUGUCGUAGGCCCAAGCGGCUCUGGUUCCCUGCCUGCCAACUCUCAAACGUCUGCUUCCCCCCCUCCACUCCUUCCCUAUCGUGUUCCUCUCUCCCCCCUCCCCCCUUUUGGUUGUUUGAUGUUGUUCACUUCCUCCCUACCUAUCACCUUUAUUGGCGGAUGGAUGGAUGGGGGGGUUGGGCUGGAAGGAAGAGAAAGAGUUGAUGCGUGAACGGCACACUACAGAUGUCACAGCCGUUCGAAGAAGUUUAACUGCCUGGAAAUUCGGUCACAAAAGGGAGAACGAGCAGCCCUUUGAAUCGGUUUCCAAAGUACCUCCCCACUCCUGUUCACCCCCAGAAUUUCCCCUCCCCGGUCUACACAACACAGUCAAAUCUGCCCUAAGUGCUAAGAUUUUUGUUGUUUUUGUGAAGUCUGCAAAUGAAAUUCAGCGUGGCGGUCGCCUAUUUUUGGGACUGUUAAUUGCACGUCGUGGUACUGGGAUGAUGCUUAGGAAGAGAGGCGAAAAGGCCUCACUGGCUCUCUUUACCGGCCCCAAAGAGGCGGAGAAGCUGCCAGUGAGAUCCGGCUUCUCCCCUCCACUCAAGUUGGCGCAUAAACAAAAUGCAUGGAAUUGUAAAGCAGCUGGUUUACAGAGGGGUGUAUGUGUGUAAAUUAAUCGUUGCUGGGACUUUGUAACAAUCUAUUUAAAGAAGAACAAAUAUUAUCUUUCAGGGACAGAAAAUGCAAAAUUAGGCAGAUAUUUUCACCCAGAAUCGCAUCCUAGUUAAUCAGAAAUCGACACAUCGCAGCAAAAUUGUCUGUCGUAACUAGGGAUGGGCGUUUGCAUACACUGAUUUCGGUGAGGUUUACUUUGUUUUGGAUCCCAGUUGGUGAUGCGAUUUUGUUCCAGGCAUGCACCCUUUGUCUAUAAAGACAAACUGAUUUCUUAAUUGUUUUUUCUGCCGCGUGUGGUUGCCAGUUAAGCAGAGUAUCUAUCGUCAUGAUAAUUGUGCCUACAAAAGUGAAGGCUCCGGGUUUGGUUGUUUGUGACUGGUCAGGUCAAGAAAAUUCUGACCCCUGAUCGGAUGCACACAGGAGAAGCAUGAGUGACGUUUGUUCGCAUGUUAACAUUUAGCAAUGCAGCAAGUCUUCCAUUUGUGUUUAAGAAAUAGGCAGAGACCUUCAGAAGCUCUACGCUUGUUCAUUUGGAGACCAUUGAUUUCUGCUGCCAAGGCACCGGGUCGCAAACGCAGUUGUUCUUUCACCUCCAGACACACAUAAUGAGAGCCGUGUUAAGUCAAAUCCCAUCACACGCUCAGAAUGCAAAUGUAAUUUUAGCCUGAUUUCCAAAUAGAAAUCAUCUCAAGAAGCCUCAGGGACUGCGAUCCUCAAAUGCGUUGCUUGAUAUGAAGAGAGGCAAACCAGGAAAGGUCAGGCUUCCUGUUGUUAUUUUGGAGUAGUUAUCUGACUCCUAAUAGGCCUCAAAAGAGAUCCUGUGCAUUAAACUCAGUGAUGAGGAGCGGGGGCGAGGAGGGAUUCUGUCUUGUCUCGAGAGAGGUUUAAUUUUGUCCUAAAUAUUUUCCUUUGGUUUUUGCUUGUUUGUUUCUUUUUUGUCGUUUUAAUCUUAGUGAAUUUGAGGUGCAAAUGCAAUUUUGUAUGGUGUUUUGAUAGUGGAAAUGUGGAGAAGCAUCUUCCUUGUACCUGUUAUCUAGCUCCGGAUUGAAUAUUAACAGACCUCAGUCUCCUGCGGUCGGCCCCGAGGCCUUGCCUUUUAGACCUUUGUCUGCUUUUCUAAAGGCAAGCAGGCACCAGGCAUUUUCCUCUUUAAAUGCAGAGGGACUAAUCGGAUUACAGUGGGGCCGAUGGGAAGGAGUAGUGGGAGAGCCAAUUUUGACUAUUUAGAAAUCGGGUGCAGGGGUCCCCAAGGCCACAGCACCUAAACGACGACCUAUGCGGGCCAGUGGUUUGGCUGAAGGUGUUAAUUUCUUUCUCCAGCGGUGUUUGGUUUGACUUCCUAACCCAGAAGGGUUAAAAGGCUCCCACCACAUGCUAAUUGAAUUGCAAUUCUUGCUGGCAUCCUUGCAGACGAAACACAUUUAUGGGGAAGCCCGAUCCACCACUCUGCUAGAUGAAAGUAUUGAAAUCCAAGACGACAGAAACCUUGGGUGGCAAACGCUUUUUGUGGAAGUAACUCUUAUUCAUUUCAGUGGAAUCUGAGGAUUAAAGGAAGUACUCUUCAUUGAAAUGAAUAACACUCACUUCUGUAUAAAAGCCGUAUAGGCUGUGCCUGUACUCCAGCAACGAUCUGUCGAAGUACUUUGACUUAAAUGAGUUGUGGAUCUCACUGUAGGAAGAGUUACAGAUGAGCAUUGCCAAAUAUAUAUUAAGUAGAGUUGUAAAGCAGAAGUUUGGAAGCGCCUUCCUAGGGACAAUUAAUUUUACUGAUGGGGGGGGUACAUACCAGAGAUCCCUUCAGGGCUGAAUUUGAAGCCCCGCUUAAAAACGCCAGCACCUGUUUUCAAUAUCAGGGCUCAGAUCUGGUGUGUAUGAGCUGGAGACAGAUGUUUUCUUCCUUUUCUUCUGAGGUCUGGAAGUAGUUCGAUAGAAUAUUUCUUUGUGGGGCACAAUCGCUUCCCUCCCACUCCAUCUCAGCAUUGUAUCAGUACAAACAGGUUUUUCAGGUUUUAGCCUUGCUUUUUCCAGAAACCUGCAAAGCCUGUUUGACCCAUGACAAUAAUACGUGCACCGCAGAAGAGGGUUGGGUGGGGUGCCAGGUUUGGCUCUCUUAAAUAAAACCGUAGCCUCUGUCCAGCCUCAUAAAUAAAUCUGAUUUUCUUCCGUCGUGCAGUAAUCACAAAUCCUCCUCCUUACUCGCCUAUCCAAAGCACACCAGCGAUUAGGCUUAAAGGUUUCUAGGCCAGAGGAUGUGAUUCUCAAGAUGGACUGAGCCACAGCACCUCCUUUUUGGGGGGAAAAGAAUGGAGGUUCCAGUGGACUAGUUAUAUCCAAAACUUCUCUUAAUUAUUCUUGUGCAGUCACGAUCAGGACGUAAAACGGAGGCUUUUGUCCACUUUUCGUUUCAACAUAUGUUUAGCAGCAAUAUGUAACUCCAAACGGUCUGUGUUAUUUGAGAGGAAAAGAAAUUAUUCUGAAUUAAUUAAUCCGGGGCCAAAAGGGCCUGAUCUCGUCUGAGCCCUCACUGAGUUGGGAUCGUUGCCAGCCCCGAGGAGCUCCCGGCUCCCGAACUUCUGGGCAGGCUGGUGAAAAUAAGAGCCUCCAGGCCAGCGCUGCCUAGUAAACAGGGAGCGCAUUUGUGCAGGCGCGCCGAGUAAACAGUGCCUGGCAAACAGACCACCGGCUUGGCUGGGGCUGGAAGCAGCAACCUUCCACUUCUCAGCACUUAGCAACCGAGCCAAGCGUUGCUCGCCCGCUCUUUCCCGGAGCCAGCCAGCCAGGCAGGCUCAAUUUGAUUUACUUUCUGGUUACGAUGCAGAGAUUUCGCCUGGCAGUUCAAGGGCAGGACAGGAACCGUGGAAGCGGAGUCUUGUGAACGGAAAUCUCUCAUUUAUAAGGUUCUGCUCCGCCACCGAAAGCCAUCCUCGAGCACAUUUGUUCCGCACGCAGCUCGCUUUUAUCUUCUCCACUCGCUCCUUCUUCCCACGUCUCGCACGAAGGGGGAGGGAGCCGAUGGGAAACCACAACGCAAAUGCUACAGGAGCGAGCUCUGCUUGGCCUCUCGGUUAGGCCCAGGGCAGGCAGAAUGUAAAUAGGAAAGCGAGCUCCGGCUCCACGCGUAGACUAGAGUCUCCAAGGCCAGACAAACACAGCUAAGGCACGUGAUCAGGCUGCCCUACAAGCCUAUAGAUAGCAAAAGGGGAAAGGAUCUACCCCGUGCGCAACGCUUACAGCAAGUGGGGGAUGAGCUGAAGACCAUGUUUCUGACAUAAUGCCAAGAUUCAGAGUGGCUUUGGGUAGCACAGAGAACGUGCACAUCAAACAAACGCUUUUCGAGUUCUCCGAUCUGGUUGCUGAUGUGCCUUAAAGGAGCAGGAGGUUGUUGGGAAUAGAAAAUGAACGGGGGGGGGGAUUAUUGUAAUGGUUUUCACUCAGAGGACUCUGGGCUUUUGUCAGAAUCUUCUAAUUAGCCCCUUAAAGGCCCUUCACUCAAAAUUAAAAUAAAAACAGGAGUGGGAAGACAGUCACACUGAAAUAAAUGGGGUAAAUUUUCAAUUUUCCUUUUUAGGACAGGGGCUUUGGAUAUAUGCCUCCACGGAAAGCCAUGGGCCUUAAUUGUGCAUACUUAGCACUAAACCCAUAGAAAAUGAAAGUUGAACAAGGAAAUCUCAAUGACAGAUUAAGAUACAGGCAGGGCAGUUUACCUCUACCCAGUUACAGGAAGCUUCAAGUGAUUUACAUUAUCUUGGGAGGAAGCUGUGCAAGUCAUCGGUGUGCUAAACAUGGCAAAUAUAUACAUGUCACGUAACAAGAGCACCUGGUAAUCUACAACAGUACAUAAUGGACAAUGUGGAAGAGAAGAGAGAACCAGUUUCAUUGGUCCACCAGCACCUCUAGAAUUUUCUCUGUGUAAGCUAGCCAUAUCAUUUACUAGCAUGGUGCCUACUUUACUUUUGGCUACAUCCUGGAUACCUUUCUAUAUAUGUGGGCAGGGGAGUAUGCUAAGAUAUGGAAUAAAUCCUGGUUGUGUUCAGUUCAUUAAUGACACCAAUUUCACCACAUUUUUAUCCAUGGAAUAGAGGGCAUCUGGAAUGCCUUAUAUAAGCUGUGAUCUGAAGCAUACUUACUAGGAAGGAGUAAGCCCCAGGGACAGUCCAUAAUAAGCGUGGUUAGAACUCCAUCCUUAAAUAAGAUAAAUGUUAGAUGCCCCAUCAUGUCCUUUAUUCUAUGGGACACAAUUGUGACUAAACCUAAACAAUUGCCACUGAAUUUGGGGAUUACUUCUGAGUACAGAGGAAACAAAAGACAUACGCGAUAUGACCUCUUUUCUCAAACAAUUUAAACUAUUGCAGGAAAAAAGUGAACUGUUCCAGGCCAGGUGAACUACAACAUACAACUAUCAGCAGAAUUUGCAAGGUCCAGCUUAAUGUGGCUGGUUUGAGAAAGCUUUUUGGGGGACAAUAACCUGCCAAUUUUGUUGCCCCUAAAUCACUACCUCAGUUCGCAAGACUGUUACUUUGGAAUAAUCUUGUUGAAAGGAAAAGACCCCACAGUUACCAGCUUGCAGGUUUUUCCCCUACCACACCUUCUGACAUCAGAAAAGCUUGUGUGUUUGACCUGGAGCCUUUUCUUUCCCUGCAGCCAUGUUUAUAGUUUAACCUUCCAGUUCAUUAACAACAAAAGGAGUUGCUAAGACCUUCCCUUCCCUUCUUGCAAAUUCUCCACUUACCGGCAAGGACAUUCAUGCCUAAUGACCAGAGUUCUUACCAUGAGUGCUCCAGAGUUAGAAACUGCUAGCUAAGCGAGUCUAUUUUUAAUUCUUUUUGUCACGGGAGGCUUGGGUUAUUUUUGUAACUACCACAUCUCCAAAUCCCCCCUUUCUGGCCUCCAAGAAGGUCUUGGAGCAUAUCAGUAAAUAUACAUCCUUACCCCAUAUAUUAAAAUGUGCAGAAGUCCUAGAUUUAUAUCCAGCUUCUUAAGUAGCCUUGACUUAUUGAGCUUCAAAAUCCUGUAGUUAUGCAAAUAUUUGAGAUGCUCUCCUGUUUGAUCAGAACUUUCUCAAAAUGAUCUCUUUUGAUUAUGGAAUAAGAAACUGCCUUUUCACACAUGUAAAGUGAGGUACAGAGCCCCUUCAGCCUUCUUUUGUUACAGCAUCACACUAGUUUUUCAAGCCAUGUGUUCCCACAUUCUUUGAAGGUAAAUAGUAAAAAGGGCUCUACAAAAGGUGUUAUCUCCCCACUUUUUGUCAGAGCUUGGAAAAGUUACUUUUUUGAACUACAACUCUCAUCAGCCCCAGCCAGCAUGGCCACUGGAUUGGGCUGAUGGGAGUUGUAGUUCAAAAAAGUAACUUUUCCAGGCUCUGCUUUUUGUCAGGCCUUAAUC